rnacentral:rRNA from 1 species
GCAGAGAAGCUUGCUUCUCUUGAGAGCGGCGGACGGGUGAGUAAAGCCUAGGAAUCUGCCUGGUAGUGGGGGAUAACGUUCGGAAACGGACGCUAAUACCGCAUACGUCCUACGGGAGAAAGCAGGGGACCUUCGGGCCUUGCGCUAUCAGAUGAGCCUAGGUCGGAUUAGCUAGUUGGUGAGGUAAUGGCUCACCAAGGCGACGAUCCGUAACUGGUCUGAGAGGAUGAUCAGUCACACUGGAACUGAGACACGGUCCAGACUCCUACGGGAGGCAGCAGUGGGGAAUAUUGGACAAUGGGCGAAAGCCUGAUCCAGCCAUGCCGCGUGUGUGAAGAAGGUCUUCGGAUUGUAAAGCACUUUAAGUUGGGA